CAGGGAAUAGUUUAAAUAGAACUUCAGCUUUGGGGGUUGAUAGUGGGGUUGUAGCUCCUUCCUUGA
rnacentral:tRNA from 1 species